CUGUGAGGUUUUAAAUAUUAAUAAUAUAAUAAAAUAUAUUUAUUUGAUUUAAGAAUGAUUUUGACAUAUUUGGAGUGAUGUUGUUGGAUUGUCAGAGUCAUGUAUGUUCAUAUAUUCGUGUAGCUUGAAAUGUUAUGAUUACGAAAUGAAUUGAUGAAAUUGUGCAUGAACUGAACAUCUCAGGGUGAGAUGAUUAAAAGUGAUGUGAGGGGUGUCGUUGUUGUCUGUAUAAUGUUGGGAGCUUUGAAAUGGUAUGUCUAUCCCUACACUCAAAGCAUUGUUCAUACUCAUAUAGAGGAGAACAGUGUGAGUGGUGAGAGUAGAGGGAGGUCCUCGUCUAUAGUCUUGGAGUUUAGACAUAGACAGAUUNGGGGAUUUACCUUGCAUAGUGUUGGGGAUGGACCAGCUGAACUAUGNAANUGCAAAGACGACCAAUAGCUAGACAGUUAUACCAAAUCCGGAUGAGUCGUGUCGUGUAAUUUGAUGCAAGGUGUGUUUGGUACGCUUUGCUUGUUCUUUUUAUAUUUAAUUAAGCAUGAUGACAUUGAUUGACUGUAUUAUAUGUAUGUUGUUUGUUNACCUAGCUCACCCUUACUUUUGUGUUGUAUGUUGCUUGGGUAUGCUUUCUCUUGCGAUGAUCAUCCUUUUGGAUGAGAGCAGAUAUGGUUGAGGAGGCCCUCUUGGAGCAAGUACUGGAUGACGCUGAUGCUNCUGNUUAGCNCUCUUUAAGAUUUCAUUUAUUUAGCUUAUGUUAUUUGGAAAUACUUAUUAGAUUAUUUUGAAAUACUUUGCAAUUAUUAANGUUUUAAACUAGGCCAUUCUGGAUGACUGUAAUCCUCUAAUUAAUCGUACUUUAUACUCUAACUGUUCU
rnacentral:lncRNA from 1 species